CCUACGGGUGGCAGCAGUGGGGAAUAUUGCACAAUGGGGGAAACCCUGAUGCAGCGACGCCGCGUGAGUGAAGAAGUAUUUCGGUAUGUAAAGCUCUAGCAGCAGGGAAGAAAAUGACGGUAACUGAUCAAGAAGCCCCGGCUAACUACGUGCCAGCAGCCGCGGGAAUACGUCGGGGGCAAGCGGUAUCCGGAGUUACGUGGGGUAAAGGGAGCGUAGACGGCAGCAAAAGUAGGGAGGGAAAUGCCGGGGCUUAACCCCGGAACUGCUUUGGAGACUGUGCAGCUAGAGUGCAGGAGAGGUAAGUGGAAUUCAUAGUGUAGCGGGGAAAUGCGUAGAUAUUAGGAGGAACACCAGUGGCGAAGGCGGCUUACUGGACUGUAACUGACGUUGAGGCUCGAAAGCGUGGGGAGCAAACAGGAUUAGAUACCCUUGUAGUC
rnacentral:rRNA from 1 species